AAACACACGAGAUUAACUUCCCUCCCUGCUUCCCUAACCUAAUCGGCUCACUUCUGUCAACCCCCAUUUGAUUAUAUGUGUUUUCCUCUCCAAUGUCCAUCCCUAUAAACUAAUCUUUGGCAAUGGAGGUGGUUCUAGGUUGCAAAGAUUUUGAAGAUUCUAGAGCAGCAAGAACAUGUAUCAACACGCCCUGGGGCGGAUCUAUGGAGGAGGGAGGGGUAGCCCGGGCUACCCCUCAACCAUCGGCGACUAAGCAGUUGGGAAAUGAGUAGAAGAAUACUCUGCUGUGGAUAUGGAUGGCAUUCGUGAAGAUUGGUCGACUUAUGCGGUUAACUCUAUUUUUAAGUUAUAUAUCGUAUUUUAGGUGUUGAUGAUGUAUUGACAAACAAUUCUUUUUUUGUUAACGUUAAAAUAUUUGUAGUAUACUUGGCAAAUGAUUAUG
rnacentral:lncRNA from 1 species